rnacentral:tRNA from 1 species
ACACCCAUCGUCUAGCGGUUAGGACCGCUGCCUUUCGAGCAGUUAACCGGGGUUCAAAUCCCCGUGGGUGUA